rnacentral:lncRNA from 1 species
CACUAAUCUACCGACGGAAAUGCACAAGGUGGCUAAUAACAGACCAUCUUCUGCCAACUUGCUACCCAUGGCCCGGAUAGCUGUCUGAAUCGCCGUGACCGCAACCGACCUCACUACUCACUGGACCCCUUUGAUCACUUGGCUAAGCAUGCCUCUCCUUAAUGUCAAUAUGCCUUGUCCAUUGCUGUUCUGGUUAGUAUUUAUUGGCUUAUUUCACUGUAGAGCCUCUAGCCCUGCUCAUUAUACCUUAUCCAACCUCUCAGUUCCACCACCUACACAUGCGAUGACAUCACCUGGUUUUAAUGAUGUUUCUAGAGACAAUAUAUCUCUCAUCAUCACUCAAUGCCUAGGUUUACCUCCACUGUAUUCACAUCCUACCAUACCUUUGUCUGUACAUUAUACCUUGAAGCUAUUUUAUCGCCCCCAGAAACUUGCUCCUUUUACUCUCUGUUCCAGACGUCCUAGACGACCAAUUCUCAUAGCUUUUAUCCGUACCCUUAUCCUACUCCUCCUCUGUUCCUCUGGCGAUGUAGAGGUGAAUCCAGGCCCUGCAGUGCCUAGCUCCACUCCUAUUCCCCAGGCGCUCUCUUUUGAUGACUUCUGUAACCGUAAUAGCCUUGGUUUCAUGCAUGUUAACAUUAGAAGCCUCCUCCCUAAGUUUGUUUUAUUCCCUGCUUUAGCACACUCUGCCAACCCGGAUGUCCUAGCCGUGUCUGAAUCCUGGCUUAGGAAGACCACCAAAAACUCUGAAAUCUCUAUCCCUAACUACAACAUUUUCAGACAAGAUAGAACGGCCAAAGGGGGCGGUGUUGCAAUCUACUGCAGAGAUAGCCUGCAGAGUUCUGUCCUACUAUCCACCUCUCUAAAAACAAGUCUCUCCCCAUUGCCGCCUGCUAUAGACCACCCUCUGCCCCCAGCUGUGCUCUGAACACCGUGCUUCUACACCUGCAUUGCUUGCUGUUUGGGGUUUUAGGCUGGGUUUCUGUACAGCACUUUGAGAUAUCAGCUGAUGUAAGAAGGGCUAUAUAAAUACAUUUGAUUUGAUUUGAUAUUGGA